rfam:Phoenicopterus ruber ruber contig38227, whole genome shotgun sequence.
GAAGAAGCAAAGUGAUGAGUAAUAUUUGCAUGAGCCAAAGCGAGCGAGCUGUGUGCGUGUGAAGUUGUGUGACAGGGUUGUUUGUGAGAAUUGUGUGCCUUAUAAUUGGGCGGUGAUAGCUAAACUGAUAAGAUCUGAUUGCUUC